CAGACAAGCAUAUGACUACUGGCAGGAUCAACCAGGUAGCACGUCCUCAUCGACGAGCCGACAUGGAGACUGGCACACGCCAGCCAGCUAGUGGCAUGAAGUGGCAAUCACCGAGCCGACUGUCGUACAUUGAGAGAGCUUUCGUUAGGGACGCGACCGCAACGGGUCACGAGCCUUUAUCAUUUGCAACAUCCGAAACCAAUAGUGCGAGCGAGGUGGCCUUGGAAGCACCGGGCACGUAGGGCACCAGCACCACGAGGCAACGCCGCACGAACUAUUAGGCCGCAGCGGAACUCCCUUGGGGGUCCACAGCGAGGCAACCGUGUAUGAAGCACAACUUCCCGUAGUUUGGGUACCAGCAUGCAAGCACUCGUCGAUGGAGCGGAAUGGUUAGAACCGCAAGAAUGAUAGGAUAUCGGCGCCAGUAGUCGGCCGCACAUCGGCGGGGGUCCUGCUGGCAGACACGAGUCCAAGACAACUCAUGCGCUCGCGUAGCC
rnacentral:misc_RNA from 1 species